rnacentral:rRNA from 1 species
GACGAACGCUGGCGGCGUGCCUAAUACAUGCAAGUAGAACGCACAGUUUAUACCGUAGCUUGCUACACCAUAAACUGUGAGUUGCGAACGGGUGAGUAACGCGUAGGUAACCUGCCUGGUAGCGGGGGAUAACUAUUGGAAACGAUAGCUAAUACCGCAUAAUAUUGAUUAUUGCAUGAUAAUUGAUUGAAAGAUGCUAUUGCAUCACUACCAGAUGGACCUGCGUUGUAUUAGCUAGUAGGUGAGGUAACGGCUCACCUAGGCGACGAUACAUAGCCGACCUGAGAGGGUGAUCGGCCACACUGGGACUGAGACACGGCCCAGACUCCUACGGGAGGCAGCAGUAGGGAAUCUUCGGCAAUGGACGAAAGUCUGACCGAGCAACGCCGCGUGAGUGAAGAAGGUUUUCGGAUCGUAAAGCUCUGUUGUAAGAGAAGAACGGGUGUGAGAGUGGAAAGUUCACACUGUGACGGUACCUUACCAGAAAGGGACGGCUAACUACGUG